UCAUUUACAGGGACCUACCCAAGGUAGUCCAGCUUGCGCCGCGCCUAAUGGCCCCGUGGUAGUACACACUCCCCACGGCAAUCCACUUCGGCACCCAAUCCCGCACGGGCGAGCAACUGUCGCGUAGGCCAACUCCGGAGUGCCGGCUUGUAGGGAGCUACCCUCACAAGCAUGUGCGAAUGAGCACGAUGGCAAGCAAGCAAAGUCCAUUAUCCACAUGUCUCAAUUUUCAUAUUUUCACAUACAAAGUUCAGAACCCUCGAUCCUCUGAUCGGAAUAUCAAUACACAAAUAGUAACAAAAGCUAGUAUCCACUAGAUUGUAAACAUGUAAGGGUAAAGCUAAAUCACAUAGCAUUAUAAUCUUUCCACUAGUAUGGCACUAUCAACAUAGUCAUGAGCAUGUCAUAGUUCUCUAUAUGAGAGUCAGGAGAAUAUCAUUGUUCUCUACUUUAAAGUGCAUCCUACACUUGUUCAUAAGUCAUUCAACUGAAUUGACUAUAAAUGUAAAUACUUAUAGAGACUUCAUUUCGAAUAUAUUCAACAAUAUGAUGACGAAAGUCAAGCUCUUUAUCAUUCACAUAAGCACAAUAAGAUCAUUUCUAUAUUACAUAUAGAACAUAGGGGAGUUUCACUUGCUCUGGUUAGGUCCGACCCACCUAGUACUAGGCUCCAACUAUCC
rnacentral:lncRNA from 1 species